GAUCCGUCAACUUGUUUUGUCCGCCACGGUCAGCACGAGUCGAAUCUCUUGAUGGAGCCAGAUCCGUUGGAAAGGUCUUGUAAUUACCUUUCCAACAAGUACUUGUUUGCUUGAUUUGGACUCCGGAUGCGUCCUGGGUGAUUAAAACAAUUUCGGGUCUCCUGGCAGCUCGGACCCGAAUCGGAUUCAAAUUUAAUUCAUGAUAUCUUUCUCUAGCAAGCUCCG
rnacentral:lncRNA from 1 species